rnacentral:rRNA from 1 species
UACGUAGGGGGCUAGCGUUGUCCGGAUUUAUUGGGCGUAAAGAGCGUGUAGGCGGCCAGGUAGGUCUGCUGUGAAAACUCGAGGCUCAACCUCGAGACGUCGGCGGAAACCAUCUGGCUAGAGUCCGGAAGAGGAGAGCGGAAUUCCUGGUGUAGCGGUGAAAUGCGCAGAUAUCAGGAAGAACACCCGUGGCGAAGGCGGCUCUCUGGGACGGUACUGACGCUGAGACGCGAAAGCGUGGGGAGCGAACAGG